rnacentral:rRNA from 1 species
GUAGGUGGCAAGCGUUGUCCGGAAUUAUUGGGCGUAAAGCGCGCGCAGGCGGUUCUUUAAGUCUGAUGUGAAAGCCCACGGCUCAACCGUGGAGGGUCAUUGGAAACUGGAGAACUUGAGUACAGAAGAGGAAAGCGGAAUUCCACGUGUAGCGGUGAAAUGCGUAGAGAUGUGGAGGAACACCAGUGGCGAAGGCGGCUUUCUGGUCUGUAACUGACGCUGAGGCGCGAAAGCGUGGGGUAGCAAACAGGGAUUAGAUACCCUGGUAGUCCACGCCGUAAACGAUGAGUGCUAAGUGUUAGGGGGUUUCCGCCCCCUUAGUGCUGCAGCUAACGCAUUAAGCACUCCGCCUGGGGUAGUACGGCCGCAAGGCUG